GCCCACUCCCAUCCACUUGCUGCCCACUCUCACCCAUACCCUCUCAUUCCCCUCCCUCAUCGCCUCUUCGCAUCGUCGCCGGCCACCGCAGCCCAUCGCGUUCUCCCUCCGGCAGCCCACCGUGUUCUUCCUCCUGCAGCCCAGCGCUUACUUCCUCUCCUUCCUUUCUCACUACUUGCUUCCUCUCCUUCCUUUCCCAUCCCGAGGUCAAAAGACUGGUUUUUUAUGCGUCGGUGAAGAGAUUCUGGGCGGCGGAGCUGGUGUGGGCGCCGAUGCCGGAUCCGCGUGUGCGUACGCUGGAUCUGGGCGACAGAGCGGCGCUGGACAGAGUGGAGUGGCGACAGAGCGGAGUAGCGGAGUGGCCCCGGGGAAGGAUGCCUUGGCCGGCUGCGGGUGCCUUGGGUGGGGCUGCGCGUCUAUGCGGCGACCUCAUCGAGACCAAGAAGCCGAUGUCGGUGAUGCUGCUGCACAUCGAUGACCUCCUCCCUCUAAUGCGUGCCCGCCAUCGUGCGCCGUGAUAGGGAGAGGAGGACGACCCCAGCCAUGGAGCAGCAACAACUCAAGUUUAAGGUAAAAGUGAUGGUCAUGGGUGAAAUUAGGGACGAUGCCCAGCAGCAAAAACUCACCAACACCUGCUCCGACACCAUGGACCAACAGCAGCAACUGAAGGAUGUGGGUGAGGAAAGCGGACAUGCUCAUGGAUCGACAAGGCGGUGAAGGAUGAGCUUGUUCACUGUGUAUGAUCCAUCCAUGCCUUUGCCCCUUCUGUUUUGUUGUUUGUCAACACACAUUGUAUUGUAUGUUUUACAUGCUGUCAAUGCUCAGUGAGGUCUGUUUCAACGCUUAGCCACUAGUGUCAUGUUUCUGUCUACUGUCUUUUGUGUUAGUGCAUUUCACACUGAAUGUUUUUGACUGUUUAAUUUGGUACAGGCUGAGACCGUAUCACUUUUUAUGUACUCUUUCUUGUGUCUUGAAAUAGAUGCAGUCAAGGAGAAAGAAAGGUGCCGCAUUUAGCUAGGAAGAUGAGGAAGCUCACCGACUGCAUCUUCGUCGGCAUCAAUGCCCUCGUGCAUGUCGAUAUCAUCUUCACCAGGAUCAAUGCUCUCGUGCAUGUCGAUAUCAUCGAUAUCAUCUUCAUCGGGACCGACUCCUCCAUGUAUGUCCUCUUCUUCGGGGGCAGUACAGUUCAGAUCAAAUUCCAUGUUGAUUACUAUCUUUACCUCUUGCAAGUUGUUGUGUCGUGUUGGAGAUGCUGCCUGCUUCAAGCUGUUGCUGUUGCUGCCUACUUCAAGCCCUCCAGGAGGCGAUCUAGACCAAGUGUGGAGGCUAUCUGCAGCAGUACCUGGAGCUGCAUGGGAGGGCGCGGUGAUCUGGACCUGUGGCUGCCAAUCUGAAGCAGUACCCCCUCCGGCGAGCAGUACCUCGAUCUGAAGUAGUACUCUCUGGAGCUGGCGAGGCCUUGGGAGGGGGACAACGAUCUGAGCAGCACCCCCUCCGACGAGGCGAGUUGGUGAGGCCCCCUCCAGCGACAGGGGGCACUUUUAUACUUUCCUCCCUUUUCACCUGGUCGGGACGUUUUCUAAAACGUCAUAUAUUUCGGAACGGAGGGAGUAGCAAAUGGACUGUAAAUUAUUGAAAAUAAUGGCUAAUGGGUUGUAUGCUGUUUUCCACAGAUUUGGAGGCUGACUUCAGGGCCUACUAGGUAUAUGAUGACGCUGUCCUAAAAAAAUUUACGCGUAC
rnacentral:rRNA from 1 species